rnacentral:rRNA from 1 species
AACGAACGCUGGCGGCGCGUCUUAAACAUGCAAGUCGAACGAUCUGUAGCAAUACAGGGAGUGGCGGACGGGUGAGGAACACGUAGGAAUCUACCUUGAAGAGCGGGACAACUUUGGGAAACCGGGGCUAAUACCGCAUAGUACAGAGAUGUUAAAGGGCUAGCAAUAGUCGCUUCGAGAUGAGCCUGCGGUCUAUCAGCUUGUUGGUGAGGUAAUGGCUCACCAAGGCUACGACGGAUAGCCGGUCUGAGAGGAUGAUCGGCCACACUGGGACUGAGACACGGCCCAGACUCCUACGGGAGGCAGCAGUGGGGAAUUUUGGACAAUGGGCGCAAGCCUGAUCCAGCCAUGCCGCGUGAGUGAAGAAGGGCCUUCGGGUUGG